rnacentral:rRNA from 1 species
CCUACGGGAGGCAGCAGUGAGGAAUAUUGGUCAAUGGGCGCGAGCCUGAACCAGCCAAGUAGCGUGAAGGAUGACUGCCCUACGGGUUGUAAACUUCUUUUAUAAAGGAAUAAAGUGAGGCACGUGUGCCUUUUUGUAUGUACUUUAUGAAUAAGGAUCGGCUAACUCCGUGCCAGCAGCCGCGGUAAUACGGAGGAUCCGAGCGUUAUCCGGAUUUAUUGGGUUUAAAGGGAGCGUAGAUGGGUUGUUAAGUCAGUUGUGAAAGUUUGCGGCUCAACCGUAAAAUUGCAAUUGAUACUGGCUGUCUUGAGUACAGUUGAGGUAUGCGGAAUGCGUGGUGUAGCGGUGAAAUGCUUAGAUAUCACGAAGAACUCCGAUUGCGAAGGCAGCUUACUAAACUGCCACUGACAUUGAUGCUCGAAAGUGUGGGUAUCAAACAGGAUUAGAUACCCGGGUAGUC